rnacentral:rRNA from 1 species
GACGAACGCUGGCGGCGUGCUUAACACAUGCAAGUCGAACGGUAAGGCCCUUCGGGGUACACGAGUGGCGAACGGGUGAGUAACACGUGGGUGAUCUGCCCUGCACUUCGGGAUAAGCCUGGGAAACUGGGUCUAAUACCGGAUAGGACCACUGCCUGCAUGGGUGGUGGUGGAAAGCUUUUGCGGUGUGGGAUGGGCCCGCGGCCUAGCAGCUUGUUGGUGGGGUGACGGCCUACCAAGGCGACGACGGGUAGCCGGCCUGAGAGGGUGACCGGCCACACUGGGACUGAGAUACGGCCCAGACUCCUACGGGAGGCAGCAGUGGGGAAUAUUGCACAAUGGGCGCAAGCCUGAUGCAGCGACGCCGCGUGAGGGAUGACGGCCUUCGGGUUGUAAACCUCUUUCAGCACCGACGAAGCGCAAGUGACGGUAGGUGCAGAAGAAGGACCGGCCAACUACGUGCCAGCCGCCGCGGUAA